rnacentral:lncRNA from 1 species
GCUGAGCGAGCGGAGUCCUGACGGCGCUGGAGCUGAGGGGCAGUGCGGGAUGCCCCAGGAAGGCUCCUAGGAAGAGGGGACCCAGGGUGACUCGCUAAGGAAGCGCGGUUCCCAGGUAGAGGAGCGCAUGUGAGCCAAGAUCCCUAGGCCUGAGCCGUCUAGGUGUGUCCCAGGAACUGCAGGAAACGGUUGGCUCGACUCCGCGCUCUCCUCGCCGGCCGCCGCCGCCCAGCCUGCGCCCGCCGUCCCCCCAGUGCCUGGGCA